AUUGAACGCUGGCGGCAUGCUUUACACAUGCAAGUCGAACGGAAACAGGCCGCAAGGUGCUGACGAGUGGCGAACGGGUGCGUAAUGCAUCGGAACGUGCCCAGUCCCGGGGGGUAACUACUCGAAAGAGUAGCUAAUACCUCAUACGAUCUAUGGAUGAAAGCGGGGGACCGUAACGCUUCGCGCGAUUGGUGCGGCCGAUGUCAGAUUAGGUAGUUGGUGGGGUAAAGGCUCACCAAGCCAACGAUCUGUAGCUGGUCUGAGAGGACGACCAGCCACACUGGGACUGAGACACGGCCCAGACUCCUACGGGAGGCAGCAGUGGGGAAUCUUGGACAAUGGGCGCAAGCCUGAUCCAGCAAUGCCGCGUGCAGGAUGAAGGCCUUCGGGUUGUAAACUGCUUUUGUACGGAACGAAACGGCUCUGGUUAAUACCCGGGGCUAAUGACGGUACCGAAAGAAUAAGCACCGGCUAACUACGUG
rnacentral:rRNA from 1 species